UCCUUACCACCCCCCCCAGGACUCCACUCUGUUUUUAGAAUUACUUUAUCCGUACAGCCUGAUGCUGCAAAGCACGAGCUCUCCCAGCAAUAACCUGCCUCUGACGUGCUCAGCCUGCAGGGAAAAGUUAUUCCUCUGUGUCUGCAGGCUUUGCUCCCAUUCCCAGGUGCAAGAGUCAGCCCAGAGCUCAGCUCAGCUUUACCUACAACAGAAAUCCAGUCUCUGCCAACCGUGUUUUUCUCUCUCCUGAAACACUGAACCGCUGCAAGAAGCAACGUUCCAAAAGCUCCUUUAUUGCACAAAAGCUAGGAAAUAAGAACAGAUUUCCAGAUCAGGCAUAUGUUUCAGGGAGGCACCAGACAAGUGGAGACAAUAAAAAGCACUGGCAAGUCAAAGCUUUGUUCAAAGGUCGGUUGUAAGAUCUAAGGUCAGCUUCUCCCACGCAGGUUAGCUACGGCGGUGAUAAAUCAUGGCCAAAAGCUUCCCUGCACUAGAACACCAAAUCCAAGAGAUUAGAAGCUGCAGAGAUGUAGAUUCAUCUCAGCCCAGGAAUCCUUCUGUUCAGCUCACAGGCAGAAGGCGGUGAGGCUCUCACGUCACUCUGCUCCCAGCAGGGUCUCCAGUACAGUGCAGAGACUUACUGGCAUCAUUUGCAUUUCUGUUUUGCCUACUGGCAAGCACGCCCGCUUCAGGGCAGGUCUCAUCCCACUGUCAGUCCUUGUAAGAAACACUAUGGCAAAUCCACCAGCAGAAGACACAGUCCUUCCCUCUACUGAGCAACAAAGAAACCAAUCUGCCCUUGCUUCUGACCCUUGUCCCCGCCUCCUCCUGCCCUCACGUCCAGCCAUCUUCUCUUGAGGAGGGUAAGGAACAGUGAUAAUGUAGACUUGCUUAUCCUGGCAGUGUUUGUGGGCCACUAAGAGAAAUCCCUGAGAAAUCCCAGAAAACAGAGACAAAAAGGGACAGACAGAGGAGCGCCUAACAAAGAUGCCAAGAUGUUUUCAGCCGUGGUUGGUAUUGCUGGGUACAGCCAACCACACGAGGCUGAGCACGCUCUGCUGUCCCUAUCCCAGUUCUAGAAAUAGCCAGCAGAGCUCUGUGUUCUCUUGCUUCCGUGAGCUGCUUUAAAAUGCACGUUGUUGCGAGCUGGCUCGAGCUCUAGGGCCUAAAGGCGCAGCCAGAGAGGCUAAGAUAUGGUUUAGAUAUGGUUUAGACAUGGUUUAGAUAUGGUUUAGAUAUGGUUUAGAUAUGGUUUAGAGGCUUGUGGUAGCAAUGGUGGCAGGAGGACGGUUGGACCACAUGGUCUUGCAGGUUGUUUCCAACCUCGUGAUUCUAUGAUUAAAGCCACAGGCAGAGAGGCCAGCAGCAGCCGUGGGGACUAAAGCCAUGAAUGUCAGUGGGUGCCGUGUUUCUGCACAAAGGAGCUCAGUUCCACACCUCUGCUUCACGCACGCUUCCGUGUCAGACGGCAGUUUGUCACAGUGCCCCUCUGCUGCCCAUCUGUCUCAUGGCAGCACCGUGGAACCGAGCGCUGGGGGGAAGCUUCAGCCUCCCUGGAAUGCAGGCUCCGUGUAAAAUAACUGCAAUUUCAUACACGUGUCUGGUUUUUCUCUCCCCAACUGCAUUGUGACUAAAAACCAGUGCCGUGUCCGAGCUGAUGUUCAGGGUAUCACGUCUGCUUUGAGACGUCUCUCGCUCUGAGAACGACGAGCAGGGAAGCAGAGAACAGAGCCUGCUGCCGAGCUCCCUGGAAACGCUGGUUCUCUGUCCCACCCUCUCCAGGCAUUCAGCCGGUCAUGGCUAAGAGGGUCAUUGCUUGUUUUCUUUGUUGUCUUCUCCUCAGGCGGCUUUUCCACCAGAAAGGUGACGCGGAUCCAGCUGGGGAGGGGUGGCAAUUCAGGACAUUCCUCUGGAAUUGGGAAGGAGAGACCUGGUCAGAGGAGACUGACUGUGGACCUGCUGCCCGGUGACACGCAGGGGUGCCCAGGCCUGUCCCAAAGCACCCGAGAGGGCCGCUCUGCUCUCCUCACAGAUGCAGAGACCUCUGUGCCUCGUGCCCAGCUCCUCCUCUCCGGGGUGCAGCUCUGUUUUGGGACUGCAUUGAUGGCUUUGCUUUGGGAAAGAGGAGCUGGGUGGUGCCUGGGAGGCGACAUCUCUUUCAGGAGCUCAUUUUGUGGGGGGAGGACUGGGCCUAGGACAGCCCCCUGCUCAUUUCCCAUCUUUUCUAUCGCCCGUCUUCCCCAUCUCCGGAAACAACUUGGGUUUGUAAUAAUAAACUGGACGGGCUAACAUCUAACCCGUUGUGUCUUCAUCUCUCCGUCAGCUGUACACGUAUUAAAAGAACCUCCCCUUGCUCUGAUAAUGGCAGCGAGGCAGUGGAGCAAAGCAGAGAGCACACCAAAGCCCAGGGUUUGCCAGCAUUUGAAAGGCAUGGCUGUGCAUGGGGCGGAGCCUGGGCCAAGAGGAGACUGUUUCCUUCCAGCUUGCUGCUCCUUUGGAUCCCUGGUGGGAAGGGGAGGGGAGGGGAGGGGA